GACUAGCGAGCGCAUGCGCCCCUCACCUCGCCCAAGCACUGACCUUGAGGGUCUUUCACUCAGUGAGCGGGAGACCUUUGUUUCAAACGGACGGACAUGGAAAUCUUAGGACCCGGGUAAGCGAGUAAACAGCGUUCUGAUUCCAGCAGUGCACCGGUUUGUCAGUGUGGACACAGAAAUCAUCAUUGACUGGGGGUAAGUUCGGGGAGAACCGGGGGCUGUUUGUAAGAGGCGGAGCGGUGCAAGGCGUGUUCCGGAACUUGGAGUGAGCGGGUGGACGGAGAGAGGCCUUUCUGGGGCUGUGUGUGGCCCCGCUGAGGGAGGCAGAACCUGAGGAAUCUGCAAUUGAAAACUAUUGGGAUUUUGUCCCCUCAAACCUGUAACGCAUAUUCCAAGUAUUGCUGCUGAUUCAUGCAACUUGUCGGCAUUUGGACAGUGAACAGUCGAAACAGGCAGAGAGUAAGGAGGAGAGAAACCAUGGAGGGUCACCCCUGGAGCCAUACAGAUGUGGAUUGUUUCUGAGUGUCACUCAAUUGCUUGAGAACUACCAAAGCAGGCUGCUGACGUGGAAUCAGACACUUUAGUUUUUAUUGUUCGUUAUGUUUUCAAUCUAGAUAUAUAUAUUUUUUAAUUUGUCAGUUGAAAGAUUACGUUGACCUCUUGGCUUUCAAUGUCCUCCGCUGAUUUUGAGUUACAAGACUUGUGUUUCUUCCUCCAGGCAAAUCAGUGAAAGGAUCAGAUUCAAGCUGAUGAUCCCCCAGGAAAAAUAAAAGUGUAGCCGCCUCUUUCUAACUGACAGCAGGUACGAUGUUACUCCGAGGUUGCAGAGAUACUGACAGAACAUCAGCUCCACCAUCACCAAGAACAGAAAUAGUCAGGCUCAAACUGAUAUCAAACCCAGGUAUAAAUGCUCCAUCCAAUGGUCAGACACUCAGGGGUGGUGGAAUAAUUUUACCACAGUACACUCCUACUCAGUACUGCUGAAUUACAGGUCCACCAAUUGCAGUCAAAAAUCACAGCCAUUAUCUGAUUGAAGGGCAGCACGUCCAUGUCAGAAGACUAGUACAUCACCUACAAUUUAAAGACCAGGUGCUAAAACUGAUUGAAAUUUACAGAAUUAAUCCUUGAGUGCACCCAGCAUUCAUAAAGCAACACUAUAACUUUAAAACCAAAGAUCCCAUAUAAUUUAUGCUUUUAACUUUAUUCAUGGGAUGUGGGCUUUGCUGGCUGUGCCACCAUUUAGUCGUCCUUGAGAAGGUGGUGGUGAGCUGCUUUCUUGAGCUGUGUACGUGGUGUAGGUACACCCACAGUGCUGUUAGGGAGGCAGUUCCAAAAUGUUUCCCCAGCGACAGUGAAGGAACAGGAUAUAUUUCCAAGUCAGGAUGAUGGAGUGACAUGGAGGGGAAAUUCUAGCUGGAGGUGUUCCCAUCUACCUGCUACCCUUGUCCUUCAGGGUCGACAGGGCUGAGUUUAGUCACUUUUGUUUCCUCAGUCAAUGUCGGGUGGUCCAUCUGGUUCCAUUCCAUUUCUGUGACUUUGUAGCGGUUUAUUACAACUGAGUGGCCCAGUGGGUCGAACACAACACCAUAUGUAGGUCAGACCAGCUAAGGACAACAGGUUUCCAGCCUUAGUGAACCAGAUGGGUUCUUAGAACAAUCGACAAUGGUCACCAUUAGUCUUUUAAUUCCAGAUUUUUAUAGAAUUCAAAAUCCGCCAUGCCUCGGCAGGAUUCGAACCCGGGUCCCCAGAGUAUUACCCUAAGUCUUUGGAUUAAUAGUCCAAUGACAACAUCAAAACACCAUUGCCUCCCCCGGAUAAUGAUAAAGUACAUAUUCAUUAAUACAGACCCACAUACACAUCACGUGCCAGAGCAAUAUUCUCACUAAUAGUUAUAUCAACAGAUCUCUACAAACAAGAAAUGUUAAACCUUAACUGACAAAGCAGAUUUUGACAAGUACAGCAAAUUACAUUACACCACUCUCAUGGGAGAGACUGACAGAUACAGAAGAAACCUGAAUUCCCAUGACAGGGACAGAUGCUUACAUUGUAAAAUCACAGACACAGACCAGCAAUAAAGAGGUGCAGAAUAAAAUCAUUUUUUCCAUAACAUAAUUUUCAAAAUCGGAAGAAAAUGGGUACCCAGAAAGCAGACGUUGAUAGCUACAGUAAAAUCACACAUGAACAUGCAUCAAAAUCUGGAGGUUUGGGUUGAAGGGUUGAUGGGAGGGAGCGAAUGGUCCAUGCUCACACACUAAACUGAAAGCUGCAAUGUGAACAUCACACUCAAGUAAUACAGGCUGACAUGUUCACGGCAAAACCAACAAUGACCUACAAGGUGCAUAGAGACCUGCAGGGAAGACAAUACUCACAUACAAGAAUAUGAUAAGCAUAGGGCACAUUCUCAUACCAGGGAUUGAAAGCAAAUAAUUAAAUUCUCAUUCAUUUAAGAUAGCCUAAGAAUUUCAACAUAUUUCUUUUACCAUGCUGACAUUUCUGACCCUGACCCAAACAACAGGAAAAUGAAGCACACUGACAUAUCACAGAAUUACUGAUACAGAAUAAAAUCUGCACAUCUACAUACCAGUAACUGAGAGUUAAGUAGUAAAAUAUGCAUUACAUGUCAGCAACAGUGAAUGCGAAAUGCAUCCUCACAAGUCAGGCACUGGCAGGUGCAGAGUAAUAGCCACAAGUGCAUUACAGAGAGUUAAAUGCCCAGAGUAAAGCUGUAUGGCUCACAAAAAAUAUCUGCAUUGAAUACUAAUAGUAUUGAAACACCUCAGGGUGCAACAUGAUGUAUGUUGAUAACUCCAAUAUCAUUGCACUGUCUGACUGUCUGUAAUGACCAUAUUGAAAUGAUUGUAAUAUUCAUUGAUUGCAUUGAAGCAUCUCGUGAUCCAUGUGUAUAAGUUGAAUCUGAUUGUUAUUUUUGUGAUGGCGAUUUAGAAAUGUUCUUUCAGAUAUUUUAUGAAUAAAGUAUAUAUUUGUUUUUUUAAAAAAA